GGACACCGGUGAAGUCACUGUCAGGGCAUUGUGCUACAGGUCCAUGAGAAAAUCAGAUAAACCUCACAGUUGAGUGUAUGGUGAAGCUAGAAUUAAUAAGACCGCAGUUAUAGGCUUGUUACUUUAAUAGCCCGAUGUUCCUGGGGACUCGGCUAAGGUUAUUCAUGAUUAAUGUAACUCAAAUGAAAACAGUUAUUGUAGGCAGGUAAGUUUCCCUAGCUGGUCCCCUCUGUGUAAAAUUAGUUCUUAUUCAAGUUUUCAACUCAGUCAUUCGUUUAAGGUGCAAUCUUGUGUUAUAAGUAUUAGGCUAUCAUGAUUAUACAGUGAGCAAGCUAUAUAAAUAAGUAUUUAAUAUAAUAAGUGUAGAGCAACAACCGAGGGUGUAAGGUAAAGGCUGAAUAUUGUAGAUUUAUUACAAUAUGUUGCAUGUUUGAAUUAAAAUACCUGUGGAUAUGCAGGAGCACACACUCUACAAAGGCCUGACUGGAGAUUUGCCUGAUCUAUCCGUCCUUCAGAUGACAGCGGCUCACUUCAAGAGCAGGUGAAGCAAGUUGGGACAAUGUUGAAGACAUUUGCUCGCACUGGGCAAUCAGGUGCAGAUCAAACCCUAAUGCUGCGACGUCUUGGGAGUUUGGCGAUGUUGUGCGUAGCAUGGACGACAAAAUGCUAUGCUGCAACGUUUCAGUGCCAAUGUGUCUGUUGGAGAGUUAUCCCUGCCAGGGGAUCUGUUACUCCCCCCUAGACACCCAGGAAGAUUUGACGUUGCUUGACAACAGUUUGAGGCAGGAUAAAGAGCU